rnacentral:rRNA from 1 species
GUCUAUUGUCACACUACCCUGAAGGUGCCUGAUCUCAUCUGAUCUCAGAAGCUAAGCAGGGUCAAACCUGGUUAGUACUUGAAUGGGAGGUUUAAUCUUAAGAUUAAUAUGUUUUAUUGAUA